rfam:Triticum aestivum genome assembly, contig: Triticum_aestivum_CS42_TGACv1_scaffold_527979_6DL
AUACUACUCCCUCCGUCCAGAAAUACUUGUCAUCAAAAUGAAUAAAAGGGGAUGUAUCUAGAUGUAUUUUAGUUCUAGAUACACCCCCUUUUGUCCAUUUGAUGACAAGUUUUUUUGGACGGAGGGAGUAUAUU